rnacentral:ncRNA from 1 species
AAUAAACUCAGGAGAGUCUCUUGAAAAAGAGCGCCGAAGGUGUACGCAGUCUGCACAGACUGUUAAUCUCUCAGGCAAAAGGAUGGAGGAGUAA